UACGUAGGGGGCAAGCGUUGUCCGGAUUUACUGGGCGUAAAGAGCGCGCAGGCGGUCAGAUAAGUCGAAUGUGAAAGCCCCCGGCUCAACUGGGGAGGGUCAUUCGAUACUGUUCGACUCGAAGGCAGGAGAGGGAAGUGGAAUUCCCGGUGUAGUGGUGAAAUGCGUAGAUAUCGGGAGGAACACCAGUGGCGAAGGCGACUUCCUGGCCUGUUCUUGACGCUGAGGCGCGAAAGCUAGGGGAGCAAACGGG
rnacentral:rRNA from 1 species